UUUGUUGUUCAUUUUUAUUUGUUUAAUCAUAUUUAAUAUUUGUUUUAUUUAUUUGUUUAAUUUUGUAUUAAUCAUUUUAAUAACGCGCAACAGAAUAACGAGAACAGCGCCGCGUUAAUAUGGAGCAAAGAAGGGCCUUAAUUCGUGCUUCUCAAACACAAGAGCAAAGAGAGAGAAAUCGUCGAGCUUAUUGUACAGAAGAACAGAUGAAUAAUCUUCGAAAUGCAAGAAGAAAUGGUUUGAAUCGAGCAGCGUUUCUGUAUGAUUGCACCAUCGACUACAGCUUGCAUCGUUUAGUUUGCAUUGGUCCAAUGGACGUUGCUUGCCAGCAUUGUGACGUUGCUUGCCAGCAUUGUGGAGCAUUGAAGUUUGCUGGUGAAACGCCUGUUUGUGCUGUCUUAGUGCUUUAUGGCGAAACACUAGAAUCACGACAUUUUCUAGCGAACACUCAAAAAGACAAUGUCUGUUUCCAAAUGACUUCAUUUGGGGCGGAAAUUAUCGAAGAACACAGAUAUAAUCCGACAUUUAAGGUAAUCUUAUCUAUAUAUAUAAAAGAAAGUCUAACUAUAACUAUGGUUUUGACUUUACAGAUUAAAGGCCAGACUUACCAUCGCCGUGGAUCAUUGCAACGUAUAGAAGAUGCACAGCAUAAAUUCUUGCAAUAUGGGCAAUAUGGAAGAACAACUUGACAGGCGUCAAGGGAUCAACACAGCUACGAAGAGAGAAAUUCUCCAAGAUCUACAGCGAAUGCUUCAUGAACAUCAUGCAUUGGUCAGGCUGUUCAAGACUGCUUUAGAGCGCAUGCCAAGUGAUUGCAAUUCGGUCAAGUCAAUUAAAUACAUUUGAAAAUAUGUCACGAAAGGGAGGGACAUGGCGGUUUUUGGUAUGCAAACAUCCAAUACCAACGAUGAAAUCACGCGCUAUCAAGUUGGUACUUUUUUUUUCUAUCUAUAUAAACAUAUUAUUUUGUAUCAUUGUUUUACGUUCAUCAAAGCCUAAAUUAUUUCAGCUAAAAAGUAACACGAC
rnacentral:lncRNA from 1 species